AUCAAAUAAACUGCUGAUAAUGAUGUUACCCUUUUGACUGCCCUAAUAAACUCUAAAUUUCCAUACAGUGUGAAGAGAGCCCUUCAGUUACAAGACAAAGAAAAUGUGAGUUAAGUAAAUCACGAACACUUCUCUACGCCAGGAUUUCAGAUCAUAAAUGGCCUUUUCAUAUUCUUUUAAUGUUUAUUAUUUCAGCUCAUUUUAAUGUAACAUCAGAACCAUGUCAUUAAUCAUAAGUUAUGAAAGUAAAAGAAUGAGGUUUUACUUAUUUAUUUAAAGUACAACAACAUAAAGAAAUCUAUACCAAUGCUUCAAAUGAAUCUAUUUUAGAUCCCAGCUAAGAGGCAAGCACCAAACAGGGACUAUUCCCCUGUGACUGGAACCCAGUUGAUGAGUCCCACGACAAAAACUGCAGGUAUAAAAUCCACAGACCAGCUACUGUGUCCUCUUAGUCCUAUAAAACUCAUAUUUUGCCCCCCAGGAGUUUUUAUUUUUUUUAUUUAUUUUCAUCAUGAGCAGAAUAAGAUGUGUGUGUAUUCUUUUAGCUUUCGGUAAUCGCCAUAAACAAUCCCCUGCUCAUGUUAUGUUGUUGCCUAAAUCCUGUACAGUAGGGGUCUCUUGUAAUCCACUGAUAUUGCAUUUAGAUUAGCUGUCUGUGUAGCCAUUAAUACUAUCUUUGCUCAUGCUGAUUUGAUAAAUUGCUGACAUUUAGUGCUUCAUCAGCAGGUAAUUCCAGAGCAGGUGGGAAGAAAAUGAAUACCCCUCAAACAAAAGAGCCCAUGACAGAUGCUGAGAGAAUUCUGUUCCUCAGGUCUAAGGUGAAAAAAUCAUUCAAGGACCUUAUGAAAUACAGACAACAGCUGGAAACAUUAGUGCCAGUAGAGGGCAGUGGUGAGCUGAGGAGUCUUCUGCUGAUGAGUCCUGCUGAUCUACAAACUGAACUCAAGAGACAUGAGAAUCUGUGUGAGUCCUUUUUCUUUUCAGCUGUAAUUCAUAAACUUCAUAAUGCAUGGAAAUAA
ensembl:lncRNA